rnacentral:misc_RNA from 1 species
GGGGGUUUGAUAUGGAAAUUUAUCUGGAAGUUUUAUAUAAGUUCAUGAUCUUCCGUAGCAUACCAUUUGUUGCUCAAAUUCAAGUUGGCUUGGACUAAUCUUGCAUUUCUAUGGGAUCAGAGAUUGACAUUUAUCAAGUGCCACUUGUGCUCAGAUGCAAAAGUGUUUUAGAGGGUUAAAAUGUGAGCUCUUUUAAGUCAUAAGCUCAACAUGUCAUAUUAACAAUUUCUACCAUGGGCAUGGGCUCAUUAUGUUGAAAUUGGAGUCUCCCUUAGCAUUAUCCCAUUGAUAUUUGAAUUUUGUGAAAACCAUGCCAUCAUUCAGCAUGAGAUCCACUUGUUUGUCUGUAUAUCAUUAUAAUUGUCACCGAUUAAUUAAUUGUCCUUGUAUUUUUGUUGUUUUUUCAAGAUAUCCAAAUCCUAAGAAUGUU